GACUCACAGAAAAAAAAUAAAUGAAUACACAAUUAAAUAAUACUUGGUGGUGGUGCUUCAGAAACUCAACGUUCGUGAAGUAGAAACCUAGUAUAUUUAAUAUUAAAAUAUCAAUAAGGCUUGUC
rfam:Seonamhaeicola sp. S2-3, complete genome.